rnacentral:rRNA from 1 species
AUACGGAGGAUCCGAGCGUUAUCCGGAUUUAUUGGGUUUAAAGGGUGCGCAGGCGGCCAUUUAAGUCAGCGGUUAAAUCGUGGGGCUCAACCCCAUUCUGCCGUUGAUACUGGGUGGCUUGUUUGCGGUCGGGGUUGGCGGAAUUCGUUGUGUAGCGGUGAAAUGCAUAGAUAUGACGAAGAACACCGAUUGCGUAGGCAGCUGACCAGACCGCAAAUGACGCUCAUGCACGAAAGUGCGGGGAUCGAACAGGAUUAGAUACCCUGGUAGUCCGCACAGUAAACGAUGAAUACUUGUUUUCGGCGAUAUAAUGUCGGAGGCAAAGCGAAAGCGAUAAGUAUUCCACCUGGGGAGUACGCCGGCAACGGUGAAACUCAAAUGAAUUGACGGGG